CACGUGAUUAUAUUUUACUGUGUGACUCAUUAUAAGUUCUGGCUAGUGAGUCGCUGCUCUAAUGGGCCUGGAGUUAGAAUUCCUCGACUUCUCCCAGCCUCAGAGCAGGUUCCUCACAGGCCUUGG